rnacentral:sRNA from 1 species
AAAUAGACCCGAUAGGAACGGCAUCCUUUUUUGACUGCGCGAAAGCGACAGGCGAAAAAGAUAUAGUGGAUAGCGGGAAGACUU